AUGGGCCGGCCUAGCCGCAGCGCGCAACAGGAGCUCCUAUGGGCUUUGCCGUUCCCGUGCUCGUCCUCACCUCCGCCACCCUCGACUCCGGCGGCCGCCGCUCCGGCACCCUCGCGUGGACGCUUCGCCUCCGCCCGGUGCUCUACAUGGCGCGGGCCGCCGCGUAGGGUGUGCUGCCUCCGUCGUCUUCUCCGCACAGCACAGCCUACGUACUCCACAGCAGCUCUGUCCCGAGUGCGCGCGCCCUUAUCCCCGACGCCGCCUGAAUUCCUCCCUAGGUCGCCCUCGGCUGCUCCUGCCAUCCUCCCUGAGCUGCGGCACGCGUCCACCUCUCCCCAAGCUUUGCAGUCUGGAGUGCCCUUGGAUCUGGAUCAACCUCCUGCAAUGGCUUCCUGUCCGAGCUCCCUCCUCUUGUCCUGA
rnacentral:rRNA from 1 species